CUGCUGCCUUCCGUAGGAGUUUGGACCGUGUCUCAGUUCCAAUGUGGGGGACCUUCCUCUCAGAACCCCUAUCCAUCGUCGUCUUGGUGGGCCGUUACCCCGCCAACUAACUAAUGGAACGCAUCCCCAUCGAUAACCGAAAUUCUUUAAUAUCAAGAUCAUGCGAUCUUGAUAUGCUAUCGGAUAUUAAUCUUUCUUUCGAAAGGCUAUCCCCGAGUUAUCGGCAGGUUGGAUACGUGUUACUCACCCGUGCGCCGGUCG
rnacentral:rRNA from 1 species